rnacentral:rRNA from 1 species
ACACCGCCCGUCCACACCACGAAAGUUAGGUUAACGAACCCGAACGCAGUGGCCCAACCGCAAGGAAGGAGCUGUCGAUGGUGGGACCAGCGAUUGGGGUG